GGCAAACUCCUGGCGAACCUGUGUAAGCACCGUGAUUACAAAUUGAAGCUUUAGAUGCUGAUGCUAUAUAUCAUAAAAACACCACCUGAAAUCAGAGACUUCCGUUUGGAGAAUUGCGAGGAAUGAAGAGACUUGGGCCCCCGAAGAUGGAAUUAAGAAACCAAGUUAGGGUAGGGUCAAAACAAGAAGUCAUCUGUUGUGUUCCUCCUGCUUCUUGCAAGCGGGAUAAGAAAGAUGGAAGCAGAGAAACUAACGAUUGUCACUGAGAAGCAGGCAGCAUCCAAAAUGACUCCACCGAUCUAGGCCACAGUCACGAGGAGAAUGACUGGGACCACAGGAAGAAACAGACAAUUCAGAGGCUGAUACUGUUUAAAGACAAAGAAUAAGAUGGGGU